rnacentral:lncRNA from 1 species
GACGCUUAGAAUUUAAUGGAACAAUGCUUGCAUGUCCCUAAAAUAUUCUCAUUCUAACGUUAUGCUGAAAAGCCCCCCCUUUUCGUGUGAAUGCGCAGACACCCCCUCCUUCAUUGCUGCGACUUGCUUGAACGUGCACGCAGCCAAAUCUUCAUUGCUGCGACUUUUGUUUGUAUUUUUUUAUUUAAAAAUAAAAUACAAAAAUUAACAACAAAUCAAUACAGAAAGUACAUGUGGGAACACAAGUAUAUAUAGAUUAUAUACAAUGGACAAUUGAGCUAGGGGGUACAAUAUCACAUUACACAAGGACCUUAAGGGACAUACAUACACUUAUAAUUCUACCAGCUUUUUUGUAAGUAGAGUAUUUAAUUGUCUUAAAAUACAGUUCAAUUUCUUUUUGUAGGGUAAGAAAAUGUGUUUUUUUGUUUGUAAAUUUACAUUUGUGAAGAUGAAAUUUGGCCAAAAGAGUAAUGAAAUGAAUUACAUAAAAAUGUUUCAGCUUAUUCCUAUCUAGGUAAAGAAUCCAAGCAGUACAUCUCUCCACAAUAGUGUUAAACCUUCAUAAAAGUGUUGAAUUAUAAAUCUACUGAUGUCUUGCCACAGUUUCAUUACAUGAAUACAAUGCCAAAAAAGAUGCAACACUGUUUCUGGGUGGUCAUUACAAAAGGAGCAAUUUGAGUUUAUGUUUUCCUUAAACUUCUUCAUAAAGUGGUUGGCAGGAUAAUAUUUCUGAAUAACAAAAUUAAGGAAGUUACCUUUAAAAUUAACAAGUAGGUUAUGUGUGUGGCAACAUCCAAACCUUUUCCCAACAGAUAUUAUCAAUAAAUCCAUUCCAAUAAGGUAACUACAACAUCCUGCUGAAACAAGGUUCGUAUCGCUCUGUUGUUGAAUGGGCCAAAAGAGAAACAAAUCUUUCCUACUGAUGAGUCAACAGGGUCAAUAGAAGGUAGGUUCUGAGGGUCAGGUCUUGACACGUUCCUGAAUAAAAGAGCAAUACCUGAGGGAAUGGCAUCUAAAACAAUUGCAAAAUCUUUAGGUGUUACGGGGACCUUGUAAAGUGAUAAGAAUUCCUUAUAACUGAGUAAAAGACCAUCUGCACUUUCCAGUUGGCUCACCAAUAGGAUAUUAUUUAUCAGUUGGCUCACCAAUAGGAUAUUAUUUACCAGUUGGCUCACCAAUAGGAUAUUAUUUACCAGUUGGCUCACCAAUAGGAUAUUAUUUACCAGUUGGCUCACCAAUAGGAUAUUAUUUAUCAGUUGGCUCACCAAUAGGAUAUUAUUUACCAGUUGGCUCACCAAUAGGAUAUUAUUUACCAGUUGGCUCACCAAUAGGAUAUUAUUUCAGAACCAAUAUUCUAAAAACAAAUAAGUAUUUUUAUACAAUAUAUCCCAAUUAUUCCAUAUAUAAUAUCUGUGUGGAGAAAAAUUGUGUUUAUAAAUUAAGGACCAUGACAAGAAAACCUGCCGAUGAAAAGCAGAAAGUUUCACUGUAACUUUGUCAAUAUUAUAAUUGCAAAACAAUAUGAAGUUAAGGCCACUAAAAGUAGAGAAGACAUGAUGAGGAAUAAAAUUCCAGAUAGAAGUGGGUCUUCUUAGGAAUUGUUUUAUCCAGUUGAUCUUAAAAGUAUUAUUUAAGGUAGUAAAGUCCAGAAAAUUCAGCCCAGCAUUCUCAUAAGUGUUCAUUACAACAGUUUUCCUAAUGUAAUGGGUACGGUUUCACCACAGAAAGUUGCUGCGACUUGUUUGCUAGUUGAGAUUUCUGAUCACGUUAGGCUAUUGACCAGUAGUAAUGCACAGAAAGUAUUUGACUCUAGCCACAAAAUCAAGGAAAUUAGAAGGCUAUUUUCUGCAAGCAUUCUCAGAUUCCCCUCUGUUAUUCAUCUCUAUAUUGUAAUCAAUAAAGUGUUUCAAAAUGCUGUACUUUUAUUAACAUAUGUUCAGAUCAUUCCUGUGAGAGAAGGGGUGUAAUAUCUCCAGAUGGGCAUGUGGUACCCUUCCUUACCCAUGCCAACAAGAUGUUACUCUUGUGGGGUAUUUGCCUUGACAGUAAGUAUUAGAGUAUAAGUAAUGUACAAUUAACCUACUGAAAGUAUACUGACUAAAAGGCAAAACAGAACUGUCAAAUUAUAUUAUAGCUGUGUCGUUGUAUACUUGCGAAUUAUAAUCUUAGGUGUAACAUAAUUCUGUUGGGGAAAACUGAAAUGCCCAUCAAACUUUUUCCCCAGUUUGCUGAAUGUGUUCUGAAAGAGGAGUCGAUUGUCUUUUCAAAUACGGACAAAGAUGUUAACAUCAUGAGAGAAGAAAUAGCAGUCACUCUCCUCCAAAACACUGAUGACCUGUGCUAACUGUGCCACUUCUGUGGGGAGGUGGACAAUAAUGAGGAAGACACUAACAGGAUUGGUUGUGACUGCUGCCCACGAUGGUUCCACCAGUCCUGUAUGAAAACCAUCCCAUCAUUGGAGGAUUAUGUCUGUGCUGCCUGUCAGGACUAGGUUAGGGUUGAGUUCCAGGCGACGAUAUCACCUGGAAAACUUUCCAUAAAAAGUGGACUAAAUGUUCAGUCGAGCUGUUGCAGCUUUCCAAUUUGUUUAUGUUAUUUAUUGUCUUUUUAUAUUUCAUUUAUUGUCAUUUUAUAUGUUAUUAUGGAAAUAUGAAAAUUUGUAUUUCCUAUUUAAUGGUUGUUAACAAACGUAACUUUCUGUAAUGUUUUUGUGUUAUCGUGUGAUAAUAUUUGUGUAUUAUCUUUAUUUUCUUAAACAUUACAAAAUGUUUCUAAAAUAAAUGUUUUUUCUUUAUACUCUUUCUGUGGCACACACUACUGCUCAACAGGAGCUACCAAAAUGAUUAUGAAGUGUGCCAGGCCUUGCAGUCCCAAAAUAGAAGGGGGAGAGAAUUUCGGCAGGCAAGAAAAUAGCCUUGCUGAAGAAUUUGGCAUAACAUCCAACUAGCCUCACAACCGCAGACCACGUGUAACCACGUCAGCCCAGGACCUCCACAUCCGGCUUAUUCACCUUCGGGAUCGUCUGAGACCAGCCACCCGGAGCGCUGAUGAAACUGUGGGUUUGCACAACUGAAGAAUUUCAGCACAAACUGUCAGAAACUGUCUCAGGGAAACUCAUCUGUGUGCUUGUUGUCCUCACCAGGGUCGGUGUCAUAACCAACUUUAGUGGGUUGAUGCUCACCUUCGAUGGCCAGUGGCAUGUUGGAGAAGUGUGCUCUUCACAGAUUUAUCCGGGCAGUAUGGCAUCGUGUGGGCAAGUGGUUUGCUGAUGUCAACGUUGUGAACAGAGUGCCCAAUGGUGACAGUGGGGUUAUGGUAUGGCCGGCAUAAACUAAGGACAGGGAACACAAUUGCCUUUUAUCGAUGGCAAUUUCAAUGCACAGAGAUACCGUGAUGAGAUCCUGAGGCCCAUUGUCGUGCCAUUCACCUCAUGUUUCAGCAUAAUAUGGCACAACCCCAUGUCUCAAGGAGCUGUACACAAUUCCUGGAAGCUGAAAAUGUCUCAGUUCUUCCAUGGCCUGCAUACUCACAGACAUGUCACCCAUUGAGCAUGUUUGGGAUGCUCUGGAUCGAUGUUUACAACAGCGUGUUCCGGUUCCCGCCAAUAUCCAGCAACUUCACACAGCCAUUGAAAAGGAGCGGAACAUUCCACAGGCCACAAUCAACAGCCUGAUCAACUCUAUAAAAAGGAGCUGUGUAACGCUGUGUGAGGCAAAUGGUGGUCACACCAGACACUGACUGGUUUUCUGAUACAUACCCGUACCUUUUUUUAAAGGUACCUGUGACCAACAGACACAUGUCUGUAUUCCCAGUCAUGUGAAAUCCAUAGAUUAGGGCCCAAUGAAUUUAUCUCAAUUGACUGAUUUCCUUAUAUGAACUGUAACUCAGUAAAAUCUUUGAAACUGUUGCAUGUUGCAUUUAUAUUUUUGUUCAGUGUAUAUUGCACAGUGAGGAGAAAUUCAACAGUGGACAUAGUUCUUCUCCC